rnacentral:pre_miRNA from 1 species
AGAGAAAUAGCUGGGUCAAAUGGUGGUUCCAUUUCAAGUUUUUGAAGGAAUCUCCAUAUUGCUUUCCAUAUUGGCUGCACCAAUUUGCAGUCCCACCAGCAAU